CCUACGGGUGGCAGCAGUGAGGAAUAUUGGUCAACGGACGAGAGUCUGAACCAGCCAAGUAGCGUGAAGGAUGACUGCCCUAUGGGUUGUAAACUUCUUUUAUAUGGGAAUAAAAUGCUCCACGUGUGGGGUUUUGUAUGUACCAUAUGAAUAAGGAUCGGCUAAUUCCGUGCCAGCAGCCGCGGUAAUACGGAGGAUCCGAGCGUUAUCCGGAUUUAUUGGGGUUAAAGGGAGCGUAGGGGGGUUGUUAAGUCAGUUGUGAAAGGUUGCGGCUCAACCGUAAAAUUGCAGUUGAAACUGGCGGACUUGAGUACGGUCAAGGUAGGCGGAAUUCGUGGUGUAGCGGUGAAAUGCUUAGAUAUCACGAAGAACUCCGAUUGCGAAGGCAGCUCACUGGACUGCAACUGACACUGAGGCUCGAAAGUGUGGGUAUCAAACAGGAUUAGAUACCCCAGUAGUC
rnacentral:rRNA from 1 species